rnacentral:rRNA from 1 species
AACGAACGCUGGCGGCAUGCCUAACACAUGCAAGUCGAACGAGACCUUCGGGUCUAGUGGCGCACGGGUGCGUAACGCGUGGGAACCUGCCCUUAGGUUCGGAAUAACUCCCCGAAAGGGGUGCUAAUACCGGAUAAUGUCUUCGGACCAAAGAUUUAUCGCCUUUGGAUGGGCCCGCGUUGGAUUAGCCAGUUGGUAGGGUAAAAGCCUACCAAGGCGACGAUCCAUAGCUGGUCUGAGAGGAUGAUCAGCCACAAUGGGACUGAGACCCGGCCCAGGCUCCUACGGGAGGCAGCAGUGGGGAAUAUUGGACGAUGGGCGAAAGCGUGAUCCAGCAAUGCCGCGUGAGUGAUGAAGGCCUUAGGGUUGUAAAGCUCUUUUACCCGGGAUGAUAAUGACAGUACCGGGAGAAUAAGCACCGACUAACUCCGUG